CUAGCAUUCCCCAUUCACCACUUCGAUGUUUUAGAUUUUGAAGCGCACAAGGAGGACACCACAAGUCCAAAUCAGGCCGGCGCUACAUCUACAAGUCACAGGUUCUCUGUCUUGUUCUUGAUGGCUUCAACAAGACUAGCAUACCCCAUUCACCACACCAAGACAUUGUUUUGAUGUUUUAGCUCUUAAAGCGCACAAGGAGACCACCACAAGUCCAAAUCUGGCCGGCUCUACAUCUACAAGUCACAGGUUCUCUUUCUUGUUGCUGACGGCUUCAACAAGACUAGCAUACCCCAUUCACCACGCCAUGACACUGCUUUGAUGUCUUAAUCUUGAAGCGCACCACAAGUCCAAAUCUGUCCGGCUCUACAUCCACAAGUCAGGCUCUCUGGCUUCAACAACAAGACUAGCAUUACCCACUCACCAAGCCAUGCCAGAUGACACAAGCAGGUUCCUAUAGGUCCAAAUCUAGCCGGAUCUAUGCCGAUUACAACAGGAACAAGGAGGAAGAUCAGAUCCAGCUACUUGUCAUCAGCAACAAGCUUGCACACUCUCUGAUCAUGCCAAUGACUCCAUGACAGUUCAAAAUCUCUAUAAUCAAGUUACAAUGACAACAAGACCAGCUGAGCCAUGAGGUCUCUUCUUUUUCUUUUUACGAGAAGAUUGUUAUGGUGGUUUCAGAUUCGAAAGUGCACAAGGAGGUUGCCAAGAUCGAUCAGAUCUAAGCCAUAACAAGGCAGGUGCAUCAUCCUUCACUACUUUCCUUCCUAUCUUAGGUUGCACUCAGAGUAAUCUUCCUCGGUGCAAAUAAAAUUCACUUCUGUUGUAUAGUUUGAACUUGGAAAACCUAGUAUAGUUUGUGGGUGACACAUUUUGAUUUCUUACGACAACAUAAACAGAAUAUGAUUUCUUCUGGAAAAGGACGAGCUUAAUUUGUCAGUGCCAAGGUCUGGUGAGCUGGCAUGUAUGUAUGUUCAGGUUGUAGUUGCCAUCCAUUGUUUUCCGGGGUAGCCAAAAUAUCUGGAAUUAAUCUCUAACGUCGCUGUUGAUAAUGCUCUUGCAUUGAAGAUACAAUAUAUUGGAAAUUUUCAUAUGCUCUUGUGGGAAAUUCUACCUCAUAAAACGAACAUUCUUGUUGUUUGAGGAUUUCCUGAAGUGAAAAUUGAUGGCUCCUUUUAAUUGGAGUCACUGUAAUCAUGGGAGUACAUAUUGAUUUGCCUAAUGACAUCUAUGACACUAUAGUUUUGCUUUUUAUACAUUUCUUGAUUGCGCUACAACUUUCUUUAUAGUACCUUAAUCAACAACUUUAGCUAUUAGUCUCUCCAUACAUCUAGGGAAAUAUUGA